UGUCCUAGCGCAUGCGCAACAGCUUCCGUUUCCUCCGCGCGUCGGAAGGUGUUUCAAGUUCGACUCCCGCCCGAGUGACCCAAGCCUGUACCAGGGUGGGCACUCAAGCGAAGGUGGUGCACCUUUGGGCGAUUUCCACCCAGUCUCCACCUGAGGACCCAGCUUAUCCUGGGGACACUCUUGAUCUGCUCCUGGGAAUCCAGCCAUAUGCACCCUCACCUCAUCAGGACAGAUGACCAGCUUGAAGUUGAGGAGGUCAUCUGGAUCUGAGAAGCUGAUAUCACACGUCUUGGGCAG